UGGCGAAAGGGGCAGUAAUGUUUGGGUACCUACCUUGGGGUCUGGGAUAGCCUUCCUAACGGAAGGGUAAAACCGGGCGAUUUGGGAAACCAAGAAAGGCAACGCCUCAGAGGGGCCCAAAUGGGAUUAGCUAGUUGGUAAGGUAACGGCUUACCAAGGCGAUGAUCCCUAGCGGGUGUGAGAGCACGACCCGCGCCAUUGGCACUGAGACACUGGCCAGACUCCUACGGGAGGCUGCAGUCGAGGAUCUUCGGCAAUGGGCGAAAGCCUGACCGAGCGACGCCGCGUGUGCGAUGAAGGCCUUCUGGUUGUAAAGCACUGUCGAAGGGGAGCAAGCCGAAAGGUUGAGAGUACCCUUGGAGGAAGCACGGGCUAAGUUCGUGCCAGCAGCCGCGGUAAGACGAACCGUGCGAACGUUAUUCGGAAUCACUGGGCUUAAAGGGUGCGUAGGCGGGUAUAUAAGUCGAGGGUGAAAGCCUCUAGCUCAACUAGAGAAGUGCCCUCGAAACUAUAUGUCUUGAGAGAGAUAGGGGCAUACGGAACUUCCGGUGGAGCGGUGAAAUGCGUAGAUAUCGGAGGAACGCCGGUGGCGAAAGCGGUAUGCUGGAUCUUUUCUGACGCUGAGGCACGAAAGCUAGGGUAGCGAACGGGAUUAGAUACCCCGGUAGUCCUAGCCCUAAACGAUGAGUACUAGAUUGUGGACUGACAUGGGUUCACAGUCGAAGCAAAGUGUUAAGUACUCCGCCUGGGGAGUAUGGUCGCAAGGCUGAAACUCAAGGAAUUGACGGGGGCUCACACAAGCGGUGGAGCAUGUGGCUUAAUUCG
rnacentral:rRNA from 1 species